AGAGUUUGAUCCUGGCUCAGGAUGAACGCUGGCGGCGUGCUUAACACAUGCAAGUCGAGCGAAGCACUUGCCAUUGACUCUUCGGAGGAUUUGGCAUUUGACUGAGCGGCGGACGGGUGAGUAACGCGUGGGUAACCUGCCUCAUACAGGGGAAUAACAGUUAGAAAUGGCUGCUAAUGCCGCAUAAGCGCACAGGGCCGCAUGGUCCGGUGUGAAAAACUCCGGUGGUAUGAGAUGGACCCGCGUCUGAUUAGGUAGUUGGCGGGGUAAUGGCCCACCAAGCCGACGAUCAGUAGCCGACCUGAGAGGGUGACCGGCCACAUUGGGACUGAGACACGGCCCAGACUCCUACGGGAGGCAGCAGUGGGGAAUAUUGCACAAUGGAGGAAACUCUGAUGCAGCGACGCCGCGUGAAGGAAGAAGUAUCUCGGUAUGUAAACUUCUAUCAGCAGGGAAGAAAAUGACGGUACCUGACUAAGAAGCCCCGGCUAACUACGUGCCAGCAGCCGCGGU
rnacentral:rRNA from 1 species